UACGUAGGGGGGCAAGCGUUGUCCGGAAUCACUGGGCGUAAAGCGCGCGCAGGCGGCUGUCUACGUCCGGGGGUGAAAGCCCAGAGCUUAACUCUGGGACUGCCUUGGAUACGGGAUGGCUUGAGGAUCGGAGAGGCAAGGGGAAUUCCACGUGUAGCGGUGAAAUGCGCAGAGUAUCAGGAAGAACACCAAUGGCGAAGGCAGCUCUCUGGGACGGUACUGACGCUGAGACGCGAAAGCGUGGGGAGCGAACAGG
rnacentral:rRNA from 1 species